rnacentral:rRNA from 1 species
GAUGAACGCUGGCGGCGUGCCUAAUACAUGCAAGUCGAGCGAACGGACGAGAAGCUUGCUUCUCUGAUGUUAGCGGCGGACGGGUGAGUAACACGUGGAUAACCUACCUAUAAGACUGGGAUAACCUCGGGAAACCGGAGCUAAUACCGGAUAAUAUUUUGAACCGCAUGGUUCAAAAGUGAAAGACGGUCUUGCUGUCACUUAUAGAUGGAUCCGCGCUGCAUUAGCUAGUUGGUAAGGUAACGGCUUACCAAGGCAACGAUGCAUAGCCGACCUGAGAGGGUGAUCGGCCACACUGGAACUGAGACACGGUCCAGACUCCUACGGGAGGCAGCAGUAGGGAAUCUUCCGCAGUGGGCGAAAGCCUGACGGAGCAACGCCGCGUGAGUGAUGAAGGUCUUCGGAUCGUAAAACUCUGUUAUUAGGGAAGAACAUAUGUGUAAGUAACUGUGCACAUCUUGACGGUACCUAAUCAGAAAGCCACGGCUAACUACGU